UACGUAGGUGGCGAGCGUUAUCCGGAAUCAUUGGGCGUAAAGAGGGAGCAGGCGGCCGCAAGGGUCUGUGGUGAAAGACCGAAGCUAAACUUCGGUAAGCCAUGGAAACCGGGCGGCUAGAGUGCGGAAGAGGAUCGUGGAAUUCCAUGUGUAGCGGUGAAAUGCGUAGAUAUAUGGAGGAACACCAGUGGCGAAGGCGACGGUCUGGGCCGCAACUGACGCUCAUUCCCGAAAGCGUGGGGAGC
rnacentral:rRNA from 1 species